rnacentral:lncRNA from 1 species
CCAGAUCUCACGUAUGACUUGAUAUCCAGUAGAGAGGGAAAACAACGUUUGUGCUGGGUUUGCAGUAGCUCCUGUCACUUGCUGCUGGCUGAAGCUUCCAAGCAGCUGAAGACUUCAGAUCGAGAUAUGCAGUGCUGCUGCUAGCAGAUAAUGGGUUUGAAAGUUUACACAUCACCAGGUUAUCAUUUGCCAGGUUGAUUACUCGUGGCAGAUAACAGCAUGACCAUCUCACAGCUGAACAGAAACAGGGGAAGGCACUAACCAUGGAUACUUCCAUGAGAAAGCUUUGUGUGUGGAAAGAACCUUAAACAACCAAAUGAAAUGAAAUGAACCCACAGCCAGCACACCACGUGUGGCAUCAAAGUGAAGACUAAGGAUUCUCAUCUGCCAACCCGUACAAUCAUAUUCAAAGCACUUUUUUAUGCCCGUGUUGGUUAUGACCCAGAACAGGAUCAUCUUGCGGAUUAUGAUCCAUAUACGGUGAUGGACUGGAAGGACUUUCUGCAAUCUGCAUGUUGCUGACAUUUAAUUCAUGCCUGCUAAGGCAUUUCCCCAAGAGGAAGUCUUUUGGUUAAUUUCUAUUGUGAUGUCUUGAGGGCAUUUUCCUUUCUGUGAUCUCAUCAGACCUCAGAACAAAACAGAGCCAAAUAUGUUUGGCAUUUGGCUGGGAGACCUCAUGGAAACCUGUAAGGGAGAAUUACAUGAUGUUCUGCCAGUGAAUCAGCAGGAGUGCUCUGUGUUGGACCUAUUGCUCUAAUCUUUUCGGAUACUCAAAGAACAGCAUUUCUUUGACCUCUUGAUUGACUGACAUACUUGAAGAAGAGAAACAUUUGUCCUGCAUUUGAAAUACUUUAAUAGAAACCUGAAUCUGUCCAAGGAAAAAUAGCUGGGAAUGAUAACUACUUAGACCAGCAAAAGUUGCAGGUAACUUAAAGCAUCACUUGUACUUUCCCUUUGAGGGUGGGUAAGGGAUUUCUGUGCUGGCCUUUAAUGAAGACAUCAUUGCUGAUACAAAUGUUACUGAGCUAACCCAAGAUUCGGG